AUCUGACAUCAAAUCAGGUAGGACUACCCGCUGAACUUAAGCAUAUCAAUAAGCGGAGGAAAAGAAACUAACAAGGAUUCCCCUAGUAACUGCGAGUGAAGCGGGAAAAGCUCAAAUUUAAAAUCUGGUAGUCUUUGGCUGCCCGAGUUGUAAUCUAGAGAAGCGUUAUCCGCGCUGGACCGUGUAUAAGUCUCCUGGAAUGGAGCGUCAUAGAGGGUGAGAAUCCCGUCUUUGACACGGACUACCAGGGCUUUGUGAUGCGCUCUCAAAGAGUCGAGUUGUUUGGGAAUGCAGCUCUAAAUGGGUGGUAAAUUCCAUCUAAAGCUAAAUAUUGGCGAGAGACCGAUAGCGAACAAGUACCGUGAGGGAAAGAUGAAAAGAACUUUGGAAAGAGAGUUAAACAGUACGUGAAAUUGUUGAAAGGGAAACGCUUGAAGUCAGUCGCGUUGGCUUGGAAUCAGCCUUGCUUUUGCUUGGUGUACUUCCUGGUUAACGGGUCAGCAUCAAUUUUGAUCGGUGGAAAAAGGCCAGUUGAAUGUGGCAUCUCCGGAUGUGUUAUAGCUUCUGGUCGUAUACAUCGGUUGGGAUUGAGGAACUCAGCACGCCGCAAGGUCGGGGUUCGCCCACGUUCGUGCUUAGGAUGCUGGCAUAAUGGCUUUAAUCGACCCGUCUUGAAACACGGACCAAGGAGUCUAACAUGCCUGCGAGUGUUUGGGUGGAAAACCCGAGCGCGUAAUGAAAGUGAAAGUUGAGAUCCCUGUCGUGGGGAGCAUCGACGCCCGGACCAGACCUUCUGUGACGGAUCCGCGGUAGAGCAUGUAUGUUGGGACCCGAAAGAUGGUGAACUAUGCCUGAAUAGGGUGAAGCCAGAGGAAACUCUGGUGGAGGCUCGUAGCGAUUCUGACGUGCAAAUCGAUCGUCA
rnacentral:rRNA from 1 species